GACGGAGGGGGCUAGCGUUGUUCGGAAUUACUGGGCGUAAAGAGCGCGUAGGCGGUUUGGUAAGUUGGAAGUGAAAUCCCGGGGCUUAACCUCGGAAUUGCCUUCAAAACUACCAAUCUAGAGUGUAGUAGGGGAUGAUGGAAUUCCUAGUGUAGAGGUGAAAUUCUUAGAUAUUAGGAGGAACACCAGUGGCGAAGGCGGUCAUCUGGGCUACAACUGACGCUGAUGCGCGAAAGCGUGGGGAGCAAACAGG
rnacentral:rRNA from 1 species